UGACUGCGUACCUUUUGUAUAAUGGGUCAGCGACUUAUAUUCUGUAGCAAGGUUAACCGAAUAGGGGAGCCGGAGGGAAACCGAGUCUUAAUUGGGCGUUAAGUUGCAGGGUAUAGACCCGAAACCCGGUGAUCUAGCCAUGGGCAGGUUGAAGGUUGGGUAACACUAACUGGAGGACCGAACCGACUAAUGUUGAAAAAUUAGCGGAUGACCUGUGGCUGGGGGUGAAAGGCCAAUCAAACCGGGAGAUAGCUGGUUCUCCCCGAAAGCUAUUUAGGUAGCGCCUCGUGAAUUCAUCUCCGGGGGUAGAGCACUGUUUCGGCUAGGGGGCCAUCCCGGCUUACCAACCCGAUGCAAACUGCGAAUACCGGAGAAUGUUAUCACGGGAGACACACGGCGGGUGCUAACGUCCGUCGUGAAGAGGGAAACAACCCAGACCGCCAGCUAAGGUCCCAAAGUCAUGGUUAAGUGGGAAACGAUGUGGGAAGGCCCAGACAGCCAGGAUGUUGGCUUAGAAGCAGCCAUCAUUUAAAGAAAGCGUAAUAGCUCACUGGUCGAGUCGGCCUGCGCGGAAGAUGUAACGGGGCUAAACCAUGCACCGAAGCUGCGGCAGCGACACUCAGGUGUUGUUGGGUAGGGGAGCGUUCUGUAAGCCUGCGAAGGUGGCCUGUGAGGGUUGCUGGAGGUAUCAGAAGUGCGAAUGCUGACAUAAGUAACGAUAAAGCGGGUGAAAAGCCCGCUCGCCGGAAGACCAAGGGUUCCUGUCCAACGUUAAUCGGGGCAGGGUGAGUCGACCCCUAAGGCGAGGCCGAAAGGCGUAGUCGAUGGGAAACGGGUUAAUAUUCCCGUACUUGGUGUUACUGCGAAGGGGGGACGGAGAAGGCUAUGUUGGCCGGGCGACGGUUGUCCCGGUUUAAGCGUGUAGGUGUGUGUUCCAGGUAAAUCCGGUUCACUUUAACACUGAGGCGUGACGACGAGGCACUACGGUGCUGAAGCAACAAAUGCCCUGCUUCCAGGAAAAGCCUCUAAGCAUCAGGUAACAUCAAAUCGUACCCCAAACCGACACAGGUGGUCAGGUAGAGAAUACCAAGGCGCUUGAGAGAACUCGGGUGAAGGAACUAGGCAAAAUGGUGCCGUAACUUCGGGAGAAGGCACGCUGACAUGUAGGUGAAGUGAUUUACUCAUGGAGCUGAAGUCAGUCGAAGAUACCAGCUGGCUGCAACUGUUUAUUAAAAACACAGCACUGUGCAAACACGAAAGUGGACGUAUACGGUGUGACGCCUGCCCGGUGCCGGAAGGUUAAUUGAUGGGGUCAGCGCAAGCGAAGCUCCUGAUCGAAGCCCCGGUAAACGGCGGCCGUAACUAUAACGGUCCUAAGGUAGCGAAAUUCCUUGUCGGGUAAGUUCCGACCUGCACGAAUGGCGUAAUGAUGGCCAGGCUGUCUCCACCCGAGACUCAGUGAAAUUGAACUCGCUGUGAAGAUGCAGUGUACCCGCGGCAAGACGGAAAGACCCCGUGAACCUUUACUAUAGCUUGACACUGAACAUUGAGCCUUGAUGUGUAGGAUAGGUGGGAGGCUUUGAAGUGUGGACGCCAGUCUGCAUGGAGCCGACCUUGAAAUACCACCCUUUAAUGUUUGAUGUUCUAACGUGGACCCGUGAUCCGGGUUGCGGACAGUGUCUGGUGGGUAGUUUGACUGGGGCGGUCUCCUCCUAAAGAGUAACGGAGGAGCACGAAGGUUGGCUAAUCCUGGUCGGACAUCAGGAGGUUAGUGCAAUGGCAUAAGCCAGCUUGACUGCGAGCGUGACGGCGCGAGCAGGUGCGAAAGCAGGUCAUAGUGAUCCGGUGGUUCUGAAUGGAAGGGCCAUCGCUCAACGGAUAAAAGGUACUCCGGGGAUAACAGGCUGAUACCGCCCAAGAGUUCAUAUCGACGGCGGUGUUUGGCACCUCGAUGUCGGCUCAUCACAUCCUGGGGCUGAAGUAGGUCCCAAGGGUAUGGCUGUUCGCCAUUUAAAGUGGUACGCGAGCUGGGUUUAGAACGUCGUGAGACAGUUCGGUCCCUAUCUGCCGUGGGCGCUGGAGAACUGAGGGGGGCUGCUCCUAGUACGAGAGGACCGGAGUGGACGCAUCACUGGUGUUCGGGUUGUCAUGCCAAUGGCACUGCCCGGUAGCUAAAUGCGGAAGAGAUAAGUGCUGAAAGCAUCUAAGCACGAAACUUGCCCCGAGAUGAGUUCUCCCUGAGACUUUAGGUCUCCUGAAGGAACGUUGAAGACGACGACGUUGAUAGGCCGGGUGUGUAAGCGCAGCGAUGCGUUGAGCUAACCGGUACUAAUGAACCGUGAGGCUUAACCUU
rnacentral:rRNA from 1 species